UACGUAGGGCGCGAGCGUUGUCCGGAAUUAUUGGGCGUAAAGAGCUCGUAGGCGGCUUGUCACGUCGGGUGUGAAAGACCGGGGCUUAACUCCGGUUCUGCAUUCGAUACGGGCUAGCUAGAGUUCGGUAGGGGAGAUCGGAAUUCCUGGUGUAGCGGUGAAAUGCGCAGAUAUCAGGAGGAACACCGGUGGCGAAGGCGGAUCUCUGGGCCGAUACUGACGCUGAGGAGCGAAAGCGUGGGGAGCAAACAGG
rnacentral:rRNA from 1 species